GGGUGCUUGUAAAAACAAAAAGCACAUUUGCGUUGAUGUGGCAGGAACAGUAACCAUUGAGGAGGGAGCAAAGAAGAAAAGGAGAGGAGAUUACAGUGGAAAGCAGUCACAGAAGCCUGAUCAAGCAGACAGAGUGUUCCUAUGGCAGCUGUAUUUGUGGGGUGUCUUGGAGUCUUAAAGGGAAUGAAGCCUCUGGUUCCCUCCUGCAUUUCUUUGGCCUGCCUAGCACUCCUGGAGUGGACAAAAUUUGGAUAAUCCCACCUUCUCUUGAAGUACUGAAUGCUGCUCAGAGGUUUG